rnacentral:rRNA from 1 species
GGGGGUGNGGGUGCUACCAUGCAGUCGACGAUGACGGUGGUGCUUGCACCGCCUGAUUAGUGGCGAACGGGUGAGUAACACGUGAGUAACCUGCCCUCCACUUCGGGAUAACCUCGGGAAAUCGUGGCUAAUACCGGAUAUGAGCACUCAUCGCAUGGUGGGUGUUGGAAAGAUUUAUCGGUGGGGGAUGGACUCGCGGCCUAUCAGUUUGUUGGUGAGGUGAUGGCUCACCAAGACGAUGACGGGUAGCCGGCCUGAGAGGGCGACCGGCCACACUGGGACUGAGACACGGCCCAGACUCCUACGGGAGGCAGCAGUGGGGAAUAUUGCACAAUGGGCGAAAGCCUGAUGCAGCGACGCCGCGUGGGGGAUGACGGCCUUCGGGUUGUAAACCCCUUUCAGUAGGGAAGAAGCGAGAGUGACGGUACCUGCAGAAGAAGCGCCGGCUAACUACGUGCCAGCAGCCGCGGUAAUACGUAGGGCGCAAGCGUUGUCCGGAAUUAUUGGGCGUAAAGAGCUUGUAGGUGGCUUGUCGCGUCUGCCGUGAAAACCCGAGGCUCAACCUCGGGCGUGCGGUGGGUACGGGCAGGCUAGAGUGUGGUAGGGGAGACUGGAACUCCUGGUGUAGCGGUGAAAUGCGCAGAUAUCAGGAAGAACACCGAUGGCGAAGGCAGGUCUCUGGGCCAUUACUGACACUGAGAAGCGAAAGCAUGGGUAGCGAACAGGAUUAGAUACCCUGGUAGUCCAUGCCGUAAACGUUGGGCACUAGGUGUGGGGGACAUUCCACGUUUCUCCGCGCCGUAGCUAACGCAUUAAGUGCCCCGCCUGGGGAGUACGGCCGCAAGGCUAAAACUCAAAGGAAUUGACGGGGGCCCGCACAAGCGGCGGAGCAUGCUGAUUAAUUCGAUGCAACGCGAAGAACCUUACCAAGGCUUGACAUGCACUGGACGGCUGCAGAGAUGUGGCUUUCUUUGGACUGUGCACAGGUGGUGCAUGGGUGUCGUCAGCUCGUGUCGUGAGAUGUUGGGUUAAGUCCCGCAACGAGCGCAACCCUCGUUCUAUGUUGCCAGCACGUUGAUGUNUGA